ACGAACGCUGGCGGCGUGCCUAAUACAUGCAAGUCGAGCGCAGGAAGUCAUCCGAACCCUUCGGGGGGACGUUGACGGAAUGAGCGGCGGACGGGUGAGUAACACGUAAAGAACCUGCCCUCAGGUCUGGGAUAACCACGAGAAAUCGGGGCUAAUACCGGAUGGGUCAUCGGACCGCAUGGUCCGAGGAUGAAAGGCGCUCCGGCGUCGCCUGGGGAUGGCUUUGCGGUGCAUUAGCUAGUUGGUGGGGUAAUGGCCCACCAAGGCGACGAUGCAUAGCCGACCUGAGAGGGUGAUCGGCCACACUGGGACUGAGACACGGCCCAGACUCCUACGGGAGGCAGCAGUAGGGAAUCUUCCACAAUGGACGAAAGUCUGAUGGAGCAACGCCGCGUGAACGAUGAAGGCCCUCGGGUCGUAAAGUUCUGUUGUAAGGGAAGAACAAGUGCCGCAGGCAAUGGCGGCACCUUGACGGUACCUUGCGAGAAAGCCACGGCUAACUACGUG
rnacentral:rRNA from 1 species